UAGGGAAUCUUCGGCAAUGGACGGAAGUCUGACCGAGCAACGCCGCGUGAGUGAAGAAGGUUUUCGGAUCGUAAAGCUCUGUUGUAAGAGAAGAACGAGUGUGAGAGUGGAAAGUUCACACUGUGACGGUAUCUUACCAGAAAGGGACGGCUAACUACGUGCCAGCAGCCGCGGUAAUACGUAGGUCCCGAGCGUUGUCCGGAUUUAUUGGGCGUAAAGCGAGCGCAGGCGGUUAGAUAAGUCUGAAGUUAAAGGCUGUGGCUUAACCAUAGUACGCUUUGGAAACUGUUUAACUUGAGUGCAAGAGGGGAGAGUGGAAUUCCAUGUGUAGCGGUGAAAUGCGUAGAUAUAUGGAGGAACACCGGUGGCGAAAGCGGCUCUCUGGCUUGUAACUGACGCUGAGGCUCGAAAGCGUGGGGAGCAAACAGGAUUAGAUACCCUGGUAGUCCACGCCGUAAACGAUGAGUGCUAGGUGUUAGACCCUUUCCGGGGUUUAGUGCCGUAGCUAACGCAUUAAGCACUCCGCCUGGGGAGUACGAAACGCAAGGUUG
rnacentral:rRNA from 1 species